UACGAAGAGUGCAAACGUUGCUCGGAAUUAUUGGGCGUAAAGCGCACGUAGGCGGCUAUCUAAGUCGGAUGUGAAAUCCCUCGGCUUAACCAAGGAAGUGCACCCGAAACUGGAUAGCUUGAGUACAGAAGAGGAUCGCGGAAUUCCCGGUGUAGAGGUGAAAUUCGUAGAUAUCGGGAGGAACACCAGUGGCGAAGGCGGCGAUCUGGGCUGAUACUGACGCUGAGGUGCGAAAGCGUGGGGAGCAAACAGG
rnacentral:rRNA from 1 species